GGGAGGUAGUGACAAUAAAUAACAAUACGGGGUUCUUCGAAUCUCGUAAUUGGAAUGAGUACAAUUUAAAUCUCUUAACGAGGAACAAUUGGAGGGCAAGUCUGGUGCCAGCAGCCGCGGUAAUUCCAGCUCCAAUAGCGUAUAUUAAAGUUGUUGCAGUUAAAAAGCUCGUAGUUGAAUUUCGGGGUUAGCAGGUCGGUCGUGCCAAUGGUAUGCACUGGCUCGCUGACUCCUCCUUCUUGUAGAACCGUAAUGCCAUUAAUUUGGUGUUGCGGGGAAACAGGACUGUUACUUUGAAAAAUUAGAGUGUUUAAAGCAGGCCAACGCCUGAAUACAUUAGCAUGGAAUAAUGAAAUAGGACGUUCGAACCUAUUUUGUUGGUUUCUAGGAUUGACGUAAUGAUUAAUAGGGAUAGUUGGG
rnacentral:rRNA from 1 species